GAAAUAGACAGUUCUUACCUCUGCUGUGAAACCUCUAACGUAUUUUGGUAGCAUGUUCUUCCUCUUAACCUUUCGACCUGUGUUAACUCUAAUCCAGUAACCAACGUCACACAAGCAAAAAAGAAACAUCACCAAAUU